GAUCAUGGCUCAGGAUGAACGCUAGCGACAGGCUUAACACAUGCAAGUCGAGGGGCAGCAUGAACUUAGCUUGCUAAGUUUGAUGGCGACCGGCGCACGGGUGAGUAACGCGUAUGCAACUUGCCUAUCAGAGGAGAAUAGCUCAUCGAAAGAUGAAUUAAUGCUCCAUGAAACAGGGGUCCCGGCAUGGGAAUAUUGUUAAGUAAUUCAUCG
rnacentral:rRNA from 1 species